rnacentral:piRNA from 1 species
UUGUAGAUGUGUCGCUUCCAUGUCAGACAGU